GGUGGACCUCAUUGGACCCUUCACGAAAUCCGGGAAUGGCAACAGCUGGUGUCUGCCAGCGACCGAUCACAAGUGGAUAGUGGCAAUACCCACUAAGGUCCGUAAAGGAAGAGUACGUGCUUAACUCUAAAUUCCGUUCUGUAAACCAUUAAAAAGGGUGCUAGGAACCAAAAAUUGAUGUGUGCUUUGUAUUAUACCCAUCACGGACGAGACUAGCGAGGCCACCUCCAAGGCGAUGGUGGACUAUCUUCUACACCCAAGUAUCCUGAGGUCAUCUUGAGUGACCGAGGUCAUGAACGCUGGAACAAGGUAUGGCUUUCCUACCCCCUCCCCCAGGUUUGGGGAAUGGGACCAACCAGACCCUCAAGACUGCCAUGCGCACUAAUCCAUCAACUUUUCUCACGGACCUAGGGGGUUCUGCCCAACACCCAGACGUGGAUCCACCUGAUGUUCUCCAUUACCAACCACCCUCCAACUUUUCAUCACAUCAUUAUUGUCAUUGUCUGUUAAGAAGGUCUUCUUGCUCUAUCUUACCGGGCACAUAAUAUGUGAGAUACACAGAUGAACUAAAAACACUAGUACUGCAAACACUCAGAACAAAGAGAGCAGCAGUGCCUGGACUUUGCAGUCUCCCUCUUCAAGUCCCCCUUCUGAGACUGGGGGACUUGAGAACAAGUGACAGGCAGAAUUCCACACACCAGAAUUCAGUAUUUUAGUCUAUGAUUGCCAUGUGAGUGUACCAAAAAAAAUCUGUGAAAAUAGAUUCAUGACACAACUGUACCAAAACCAAUCAAUGUUUGUAUUAAAAUCUUAAAUCUUGCCAGGUUGGUUUUCAUAGCUGUUUCACAAGGUGUUCAUUUUUGUAAGUUGUAAUGUUUCCUUUGAUGAUAUUUAUUUGUUCCACAUUAUUCCUGUAUUAUUUCAGUGUAGAUGAGGAAAGGGCCGUUUAAAAAACAACAACAUCACAGCCAGACAAGCCAGUGUAUGAAUCAAACGGAUUUGCAUAUGAAUGGAGAGGAAAUUUGCUGACUUCGUGAGCUGUAAGGUAGGUAACUUUAAAGUGUCAAGCAGAUCACACGUUUUCUUUGACAUUUCCGAAACGUAGCAAUGUUUAACUUGUUAAAACAGCGAAAUUGUCGCGGAAAUCAACCUUCUUUGCAUAACGAUGAUGAAAAGAACGUAAUUUAGUCUGUAAUGAUCUCCAAAAUUCUAAUCAUUAGGUCAUCACGCCGUUGAUAUAGUAAAGGACGCUAAUGGUUUAUCAAUUGUUUACUAGAUAUAUCAAUGUAAUUACACCCGACACGAUGUUGAAAAACGUGAGCUGGACUUGAUCCCAACGCUGCCACCAAUGUAGCGUAAGAAUACGUGGCAAAGUGAACUCUAACGUCCGUUGCCUAGUAAGCCUAGUACGCCUCUGGGCAGAGGCCGUAGGUCUACAAUGCUGGCAUAUGCCUUGUUACAAUAGCCUAAGUAUGUAACAUGAUUGACAUGACCGUAAUACUCAUCAAGAAACAGCCAUGGAAGUGCCAUAAGUGUAAGCCAACAUAAUUCAUUAUUUUACAUUAACCUGUUUAACAGCAUUGAUAUGGUUUAAUUCAUCAUAGUCCAGACUCGUUAUAGUUGCAAGUACCAUGCAGUUGCACCAGGGGAAUUUAAACCAAACAGUUUUUUGCAGUUCUUCUGUUUCCCCACAUUUAUAUCUGAAUUAAUUUCCCAUCAUGAAAAUGUAUCCCCAUUCCCUGUCACACCCUGACCUUAGUUAUCUUUGUUUUCUUUAUUAUUUUGGUUAGGUCAGGGUGUGACGAGGGCGGUAUGUGUGUUGACUU